AUGAGGGGACGAUGGCAUUUAUUUGUCAUGUUUCUCGUGCCCUCUUGCUCCCCUCCCCUGUAUCUCUGCAGGUUGCGAUUUUUGGACGGACACCGAAAAGAGUCUCUUCAGUGCAGCUCUGAGGACACACGGGAAAGACUUCUCCCUCAUAAAAAAGACGGUGAGGACAAAGACAGUGUCCCAGUGCGUGGAGUUUUUCUACCUGAGCCAAAAGCUCACGGGCAAACAGAAGAAACAAAAGGAGGACGAGCGCAGAGACGCACAGGAGGAGCUGCAAACAUGCGUAAGGAUCCUCUCAAAUGUGCAGCUAGGGUUAAACUCAACACAUGAAAUCUACAACGAUUGUUUCAAACUAUAAUGUUUAUUUAUUUUGUGUGUGCAUGGAUGAAUGACAAAUUGUGUUGCAAAGUGCCUGGGGGGGGGGGGGGGGUCUAGGACUCUAGAAGGCUACUUACAAUAAGUGCUGACAGUGUGGUGCUGCAGACACGCCCAUGAGGCUCAGCAGGUUUGAAGCCUUUGUCCUUGUCUGGCGUCUGAUCACUGACGGACUUCUGUCACUAACACAAGAGGAAAAAUAACUGUUUAAUUGGAAAAAUAAAUUUAAAAAGGCUUUGAAAGUCCUGACAUGUCUGACCCUUUUUUGUUAAGACUGUGUUGCACCUUAUCGAUCGUUUACCCCUGAGAUGCCACCAGCUUUCAUAAGAGAGUAAGGCCCUGUCCACACGUAGCCGGGGAUCUGCCAAAACGUAGAUAUUUUUCUACGUUUUGGCCUGUCAUCCACACGAAAACGGAGUUUUUUUCACACGAAAACGGAUCUUUUUAAAAACUCCGGCCAAAGUGAAGAUCUGCGUUUUCUCCGUUUUGGGUGUCUGCGUGUGGACAGACAAAACCGGAGUUUUAAGGUCCGCAGCGUCACUUUCCGCGACAAAAAAAUGCUGACAUCACGUGUGCGACCUGUGUUUACACUAGCUGACAGCAUGGAUGCCCUCAGAGCUGCGCUCGCUUUAUUAAUUGUCCAAGCGCUUUCUGCUUGUUUGUUUUUGCAAGCGGAAUUACUGCUCCUUGUGGAAGACCACAGACGAAGGACGAGGUUAAGAACGGGGGAAGUACUGCCGCCUACAGGUCUGGCAUGUCCUUAACAACGUAUUUAUCCGGGUACGUGUGGACAGAGUUUGUUUUUAAAACGAGGUGGUGUGGAUGCAAGUUUUUGGAGGGGCGGAUAUUCGUUUUUAAAAAACCCGGCUACGUGUGGACUAGGCCUAAAUGUUGGAGGUGGGAAAAUGAUCCAUUCUAAGAUGCAUCGCCAUUCAGCCGUGCAUGAUUCUGCAUCGAUGCAGCAACGUGACAUCAUGAGAUUUUCUCCCUAUAUCUAUGUUCUGGACGUGCGAGGACAAUAAAGUUUUGAGGUUUUACAACUACUUCCAGGGGCAGGGUUGCAAUGACAUGCGCUCUGCGUUGCCCUAGCGCCAAUUUAAAACAGAAGUGGUGGACAGGGAUACAGGGCGAACAUGUCUGGGCUAAUUUCGGUUUAGGGAUCCUGGAUGUGAAAGAAUCACUUAACACAGUAUUUGUUUACUAUUUUUAAGUUCAGUAGUAUUCUAUCUUAAAGCUGCUCCACCGAAAACAUUACUUCUUAUAUCAUUUAAGUAAUUAUAGGCAGCAGACUUCAAAAAUUGUUGCUCACUAUAGUGAAUAGAUGUAUGUUCUGUUUUUCAGGGAUAUCGAAAUAAAAAACAAAUUAAAAAUUACUCUACUGCUUUUAUUAAGUAACGAAAAAUUGUGUGUGAAGAAUCGUCACACACUUCAGACUCAAAUCGAAUCUUUAGGCAGAUAAUCUGAAUCGGAUCGAAUCGUGAGGCAGGUAGAGAUGCGCACCGCUAGUAAAUAUGUCUUGCUUUGCAUUCAGACCCAUUUUACAACAGUAGACAUGCAUGUGCCUCAUUUACAAGCUGCACCAGCAGAGAGAAGUAUACUGGUCAGCUGCUCACAGUAAGAGAAGAGCGCCCUUUUACGAAGCGCUUGAAAAUAAGGGCAAAGCACAAAAUUUCACUCUCAGUAAAGAGAAACGCUUUAGGGAGGUCUGAUCUGCAUGUCUGGGCGGUUUGUGAGUUAAAUUAAGUGAUUGUUGUACAUGGAUUGCUGCUCGGUAAGUCAUGCGAAGCAUUCCAGGUCAUGAGAGGUCAUGUUUUUGCAGAAGUCAUCCCACUCUCAGCCGUUAAAAAGACCCUAUACGCUGGAGGAGGCGGUUUCUGUCCCCCCGCUGGCCAGCUUCUUCCCCUGCAAACUGUGUGGAAAGUGAGUAAAAAGCAUGUUUAUUAAAAGAGGCUGCCAACACUAACUCACUGUCCCCAGGGCAAGCCAACAGAUGGUUUAGAUUGCCAAGGCUUUUUUUUUUCAUCUGU
ensembl:lncRNA